GUCUAUGGUCAUGCCACCUUCAGUGCACUUGAUCUCAUUUGAUUUUGGAAGCUAAGCAGAAUCAGGCCUAGUUAGUACUUGAAUGGGAGAUUAAAAUAGUCAAAUAAAUACCAUGUGGA
ensembl:rRNA 5S_rRNA 5S ribosomal RNA